rnacentral:rRNA from 1 species
UUCCGGUUGAUCCUGCCGGAGACCACUGCUAUUGGGGUUCGAUUAAGCCAUGCGAGCGGAGGGCAGUUCGGCUGCCCCGCGGACGGCUCAGUAACACGUAGUCAACCUACCCUUGGGUCAGGGAUAACCCCGGGAAACUGGGGAUAAUCCCUGAUAGGUGGGGGUACUGGAAAAGUCCCUCUCCCAAAGCUCCGGCGCCCAAGGACGGGACUGCGGCCCAUCAGGUAGUUGGCGGGGUAACGGCCCACCAAGCCGACAACGGGUACGGGCUGUGAGAGCAGGAGCCCGGAGAUGGAGACUGAGACAAGGCUCCAGGCCCUACGGGGCGCAGCAGGUGCGAAAACUUCGCAAUGCGUGCAAGCGUGACGAGGGGACCCCAAGUGCCGAUGGUCUUUCUGAUCGUCGGCUUUUCAAGAGUUUAAAUCGCUCUUGGAAUAAGAGCUGGGUAAGACUGGUGCCAGCCGCCGCGGUAACACCAGCAGCUCAGGUGGUGGUCGCGAUUAUUGGGCCUAAAGCGUCUGUAGCCGGGCCAGUAAGUCCCCUGUGAAAUCGGACGGCUCAACCGUUCGGCGUGCAGGGGAAACUACAGGCCUCGAGGCCGGGAGACGUCGAGGGUACUCCGGGGGUAGCGGUGAAAUGCUGUAAUCCCUGGGGGACCACCAGUGGCGUAGGCGCUCGACGAGAACGGACCUGACGGUGAGGGACGAAAGCUGGGGGAGCGAACCGGAUUAGAUACCCGGGUAGUCCCAGCUGUAAAGUAUGUGGGCCAGGUGUAGGGCGCUCCACGAGGGCGCCCGGUGCCGUAGGGAAGCCGUUAAGCCCACCGCCUGGGAAGUACGGCCGCAAGGCUGAAACUUAAAGAAAUUGGCGGGGGAGCACCACAACGGGUGGAGCCUGCGGUUUAAUUGGAAUCAACGCCGGU